rnacentral:rRNA from 1 species
GACGAACGCUGGCGGCGGGCCUAACACAUGCAAGUCGAGCGGAGCGGCGGACGGGUGAGUAAUGCCUAGGAAUCUGCCUGGUAGUGGGGGAUAACUUCCGGAAACGGGCGCUAAUACCGCAUACUCUCAGAUGAGCCUAGGUCGGAUUAGCUAGUUGGUGGGGGAAAGGCGUACCAAGGCGACGAUCCGUAACUGGUCUGAGAGGAUGAUCAGUCACACUGGAAAUGAGACACGGUCCAGACUCCUACGGGAGGCAGCAGUGGGGAAUAUUGGACAAUGGGCGAAAGGCUGAGCCAGCCAUGCCGCGUGAGUGAAGAAGGUCUUCGGAUUGUAAAGCACUUUAAGUUGGGAGGCGUUACCAACAGAAUAAGCACCGGCUAACUUCGUGCCAGCAGCCGCGGUAAUAC